rnacentral:tRNA from 1 species
GGAGCGAUGGCCGAGCGGUUGAAGGCGCUGGUCUUGAAAACCAGUGAUACCUAAAGGUACCGGGGGUUCGAAUCCCUCUCGCUCCGCCA